rnacentral:rRNA from 1 species
UACGUAGGGCGCAAGCGUUGUCCGGAAUCAUUGGGCGUAAAGAGCUCGUAGGCGGCCUGUCGCGUCUGCUGUGAAAUCCCGGGGCUCAACCCCCGGGCGUGCAGUGGAUACGGGCUGGCUAGAGGCAGGCAGGGGGAGAACGGAAUUCCCGGUGUAGCGGUGAAAUGCGCAGAUAUCGGGAGGAACACCGGUGGCGAAGGCGGUUCUCUGGGCCUGUACUGACGCUGAGGAGCGAAAGCGUGGGGAGCGAACAGG